UACAGAGGUCUCAAGCGUUGUUCGGAUUCAUUGGGCGUAAAGGGUGCGUAGGUGGUGAGGUAAGUCGGAUGUGAAAUCCCGGGGCUCAACCCCGGAACUGCAUUCGAUACUGCCUUGCUCGAGUACUGGAGAGGAGACUGGAAUUUACGGUGUAGCAGUGAAAUGCGUAGAUAUCGUAAGGAAGACCAGUGGCGAAGGCGAGUCUCUGGACAGUUACUGACACUGAGGCACGAAGGCCAGGGGAGCAAACGGG
rnacentral:rRNA from 1 species